UAGGGAAUAUUGGACAAUGGGCGAAAGCCUGAUCCAGCCAUGCCGCGUGAGUGAUGAAGGCCCUAGGGUUGUAAAGCUCUUUCAGCGGGGAAGAUAAUGACGGUACCCGCAGAAGAAGCCCCGGCCAACUUCGUGCCAGCAGCCGCGGUAAUACGAAGGGGGCUAGCGUUGUUCGGAAUUACUGGGCGUAAAGCGCGCGCAGGCGGACUGUUAAGUCAGGGGUGAAAUCCCGAGGCUCAACCUCGGAAUUGCCUUUGAUACUGGCAGUCUCGAGUCCGGGAGAGGUGAGUGGAAUUCCGAGUGUAGAGGUGAAAUUCGUAGAUAUUCGGAGGAACACCAGUGGCGAAGGCGGCUCACUGGCCCGGUACUGACGCUGAGGCGCGAAAGCGUGGGGAGCAAA
rnacentral:rRNA from 1 species